rnacentral:tRNA from 1 species
GUUCCUGUAGCGCAAUGGACAGCGCAUUGGACUUCUCAUCCAAAGAUCGUUGGCUCGAAUCCUACCUGGGAUG